rnacentral:tRNA from 1 species
GCCCGGAUGGUCUAGUGGUAUGAUUCCUGCUUUGGGUGCAGGAGGUCCCCGGUUCAAACCCGGAUUCGGGCC